CAAUAGCGUAUAUUAAAGUUGUUGCGGUUAAAAAGCUCGUAGUUGGAUUUCUGCCGAGGACGACCGGUCCGCCCUCUGGGUGUGUAUCUGGUUUGGCCUGGGCAUCUUCUUGGAGAACGUAGCUGCACUUGACUGUGUGGUGCGGUGUCCAGGACUUUUACUUUGAGGAAAUUAGAGUGUUUCAAGCAGGCACACGCCUUGAAUACAUUAGCAUGGAAUAAUAAGAUAGGACCUCGGUUCUAUUUUGUUGGUUUCUAGAGCUGAGGUAAUGAUUAAUAGGGAUAGUUGGGGGCAUUCGUAUUUAACUGUCAGAGGUGAAAUUCUUGGAUUUGUUGAAGACGGACUACUGCGAAAGCAUUUGCCAAGGAUGUUUUCAUUGA
rnacentral:rRNA from 1 species